UAGGCAGGGAGACAGAUAACCCAAAUCCCUUAUCAAUGACCUGAGUCACCCAGAAAAUGUCAAAGUUCCAUAAUAUCAAGGAGGCUCUUGCUCCAGUUGCUCUCUUCCCUCUAGCUUCAUAGGCUGCUGGCUCCAGAUGCAUCAACGGGAAGUGUAGCUACCACCUCAGACGCAGUCCACAGAGUCACAGAGACCCCAGCCUGGCCCAACAUAGUUGAGCUGCUGAACUAAUACCAGCAGUCCUGUUGAUGGAGGAAAGUAACCUCUUGUUCAUCCAAGCCACUGUUACCGGACAGUGUGGUUACUUGCAGCCAGAAGCAUUUGUACCUGGUAGUUCCAUCUGACAGACCUUAAGCAAAAAGAUACAGCGUACAAUCAGCAAAGGGAAAUGGCACACAGGGGUCAAGUCCAGAGGAGACGAGGCACAAGCCCCAAGGUAUCUUUCAGCAAAGCCUCACAGGACACCCUUAAUUCCCUCAGAUGACUGAUCAUGGAUGUUGUUAUACAUGACUUGGGGGAUUUUCUCCUUGCGAAAUUCUGAAGUAACAGAGUUGACAUUCUGUUUUAAAUUGAUCUUCAUGAUUUUCUUGACUUACAAUCUAAGGAGAAAUUAAAG
ensembl:lncRNA